rnacentral:rRNA from 1 species
UACGAAGGGUGCGAGCGUUAUUCGGAAUCACUGGGCGUAAAGGGUGCGUAGACGGUCCAUUAAGUUUGUUGUUAAAGACUCUAGCCUAACUGGAGGGUUGCAAUGAAAACUGGUGAGCUGGAGGGUGAGAGAGAGAAGUGGAAUUCCCGGAGUAGCGGUAAAAUGCGUGGAUCUCGGGAGGAACACCAAUGGCGAAGGCAGCUUCUUGGCUCAUUCCUGACGUUGAGGCACGAAAGCGUGGGGAGCAAAC